GUGCUCCUUUCAGUAGCAUAUGUAUUAAAACUAACACGAUAAAGAUUAGCAUAGCCCUUGUACAAGGACCUCAUGCAAAUUUGUGAAGUGUUCCAUGUAUUA
ensembl:snRNA U6 U6 spliceosomal RNA